rnacentral:rRNA from 1 species
UGCUGACGAGUGGCGGACGGGUGAGUAAUGUCUGGGAAACUGCCUGAUGGAGGGGGAUAACUACUGGAAACGGUAGCUAAUACCGCAUAACGUCGCAAGACCAAAGAGGGGGACCUUCGGGCCUCUUGCCAUCGGAUGUGCCCAGAUGGGAUUAGCUAGUAGGUGGGGUAACGGCUCACCUAGGCGACGAUCCCUAGCUGGUCUGAGAGGAUGACCAGCCACACUGGAACUGAGACACGGUCCAGACUCCUACGGGAGGCAGCAGUGGGGAAUAUUGCACAAUGGGCGCAAGCCUGAUGCAGCCAUGCCGCGUGUAUGAAGAAGGCCUUCGGGUUGUAAAGUACUUUCAGCGGGGAGGAAGGGAGUAAAGUUAAUACCUUUGCUCAUUGACGUUACCCGCAGAAGAAGCACCGGCUAGCUCCGUGCCAGCAGCCGCGGUAAUACGGAGGGUGCAAGCGUUAAUCGGAAUUACUGGGCGUAAAGCGCACGCAGGCGGUUUGUUAAGUCAGAUGUGAAAUCCCCGGGCUCAACCUGGGAACUGCGUCUGAUACUGGCAAGCUUGAGUCUCGUAGAGGGGGGUAGAAUUCCAGGUGUAGCGGUGAAAUGCGUAGAGAUCUGGAGGAAUACCGGUGGCGAAGGCGGCCCCCUGGACGAAGACUGACGCUCAGGUGCGAAAGCGUGGGGAGCAAACAGG